UGAUCUAGAGGAACCGCCGUACUAGAGAGGCCCACCACUAGUGAGUUUUGGUUUUUCGUAUUUUUUGUGUCCACCGAGGCCCUUUAGCGUAUGUGCUCGCAGGAAUCGAUAUAAAAUUGGCUGAAUUCGAUCAAAAAUAGCCGACUCGAGUUGGACCACCACUGUGGGCGACAACACCAUCGCCGGAGCACGAUGGAGCCGCCGUGCCAGAUUUCUAAAAUUGGCCGAGUGGGGCUUCGGACUAAUUUUGGGUUUAUUUAGAAUAUUUGUAGGUACUAUAAGUGCGUUUUAGUUCCUAGAAAAAAAUUUAGGGGACCUAGGGAUCGCCCGUAGGUGCAGUAAACCAUUUAGCUUUUCGGCGUCAAAUCGAGUAAGGAUCCCUCACCCUAUUCACUAUCAUAGAAUUGAAGUUUAAUUAUAAAUAAUAAUGUGGUAUUUUUUACGAUUUUAGUAAACAUGUGUAAUUAAUUACGGGUUGCUAAUGGAGCCAGAACUGGAAAUUAUCUACUACUGUUUGUUGAUUGAUUUUACAGUUUAUAUGCAUGAUGGUAUCGGAUUUAUUUUAUGGCCUUGAACGCAUGUAUGUUUAAUUGAUGUGUUUACUACUGAAUUGAGAAAAGGAUAAUGUUAAACGGUAAGGAAAUUGUGUGAUU
rnacentral:lncRNA from 1 species